AGACAGGAGUGGCUUUGGCAUCGUCAUUGCAACUUUUAACUGGAAUCCUUGGCCAUUACACAAGGUUCCCACUCACUGCCCGUGUGGAUGCCUCCUCCGAAGCAGCUUGUCUGUACCUGGGAUGAAGAGCCACUAGGUGACGCUGUUGUCACUCAUCUGCCCCAGAUAUGAGCUGCCCCUUUGCAGCACUCAGCAUUACAGCAGAAGAAACUGGAAACCCAAGACCUUGAAGGGCGUGUGAAGAGAAGGAGGCAGAAUGAGGGCAAGCAGAAGAUACCUCGUGCCCAGAUCUUGGUUUCUAAUGCCACACUCCAAAAGAAGAAACUAAGGCUUCCUGGAGAAGUAGCUGAUUCACAAGGAGGCAAGAUUCACAAAACAGGCCGGUACUUGCAAUUCCUGCUGAUACC